CACCAAAUUCCCCACCACCGCCACACUCACAGCCCCCGCCUCCACCACCAGUUUAUUCUUCACCACCGCCUCCUGUCAAUUCUCCACCUCCCCCAUAUCACUCUCCUCCACCUCCCCCAUAUCACUCUCCUCCACCUCCAUCACCCCCACCUUGUAUAGAACCGCCUCCACCUCCACCACCAUGUGUAGAGUAUUCACCCCCCCCACCCCCUCAAUCGCCCCCCCCACCUUCUCCACCAUCACCAGUGUAUUCUCCUCCACCGCCUCCUACUCCACCUCCCCCACAAUCAUCACCGCCACCACCACCAUCCCUGUCUCCCCCGCCGCCUCCUACACCACCCCCACCAUCUCCGUUACCUCCAUGUGUACGUUCCCCACCACCGCCUCCACCAAAUUCACCACCACCUCCAUCACCAAUAUUCUCCCCACCACCACCUAUUCCUUACUAUUAUAACUCCCCACCACCCCCAUCACCUCCACAUUCGCCUCCACCUCCACAUUCGCCUCCACCACCAGUUUAUCCUUACUUAUCACCUCCACCACCACCUCCUGUCAAUUCUCCACCUCCCCCAGUUUAUUCAUCACCGCCUCCACCCCCACCUUGUAUAGAACCGCCUCCACCUCCACCUCCACCAUGUAUAGAGUAUUCACCACCUCCACCCCCACCUUCAUCGUCACCGCCUCCUCCUAUACAUUAUAAGCCACCACCAUCACCAUCCCCACCACCACCACCAGCAGUUUACUACCAUUCUCCCCCACCAUUGUCGCCUCCACCCCCAC
rnacentral:lncRNA from 1 species